UUCGUAUACCGGGUGUUCGCUCCGAUUUAUUUCGGAGAGGAAAGUCCGGGCUCCAUAUAGCAGCGUAACGGCUAACGGCCGUCCGUCGAAAGACGAGGAUUUAGAGCCACAGAGACGAGUCCUGUAUCUGAACGAACCCGAAAGGGUGAGCGAGUGAUACAGGGGUGAAACGCGGCAAUCUCUACGCGGAGCAAGACCAAAUAGGUUCCGAUCCAGGAUCUGCUAGAUCCUACUGGAAAAUACGUCAGUAUCGGAACGGGUUAGGUCGCUAGCGCUGGCCAAUGCCUCUGGCAUUGACCGCGCAUGUCGUUGGCUUUGCCAACGACUAGAGCCACGGAGCAAUCCGUGGUCGAGAUAGAUGAGCGCCUCAUUCCGCGCAAGCGGGAUAAGACAGAACCCGGCUUACAGGUAUACGAAAUAA
rnacentral:RNase_P_RNA from 1 species